UGGGCAUGGAUUGGUGAGUUAAACACCAAGUGGGCUUGAAUUGUGCCACUAAACGGAUAGUACUGAGAAUUGAGGAGGACGAGGGGGUAGUCGUAAUUAGGGUAUGAUGAAAUCACUUGAGUAAUGUGAUUUUGCAGUUAGGGCUGAGAAAUUGGUUCGAAAGGGUUGUGAGGCAUAUGUAGCCUACAUAAGUGUUUCAGAAUUCGAGUUCUUCUACUAAGGAUACCAGAACAGUCAAAGAUUUUACAAAUGUCUUUCCAGAUGAUCUACCUGGGC
rnacentral:lncRNA from 1 species